GAUGAAGAACGUAGUGAAAUGCGAUACGUAAUGUGAAUUGCAGAAUUCAGUGAAUCAUCGAAUCUUUGAACGCAUAUUGCGCUCUCUGGUAUUCCGGAGAGCAUGCUUGUUUGAGUAUCAGUAAACACCUCAACUCCCUUUUCUUUUUUGAAAUGGGAGCUGGACUUGAGUGAUCCCAACACUUUUCUCACUGGAAAGUGGCGGGUCACUUGAAAUGCAGGUGCAGCUGGACUUUUCUCUGAGCUAUAAGCAUAUCUAUUUAGUCUGCCUAAAAAACAGAUUAUUACCUGUGCUGCAGCUAACAUAAAGGAGAUGAGUUCUUGUGCUGACUGAUGCAGGAUUCACAGAGACAGCUUUGCGGCUGACUUUGUAAACUCGAUCUCAAAUCAAGUAAGACUACCCGCUGAACUUAAGCAUAUCAAUAAGCGGAGGA
rnacentral:misc_RNA from 1 species